UUACCUUACCAUUAACGGGAGAUACUGAUCUAGACCCAGACCACUGACAUGAAGCAUUUACCUACUCAGGUACAAAAACACAUUCUCAGAACACCACAUCCACAAACAACACCAUUACACAAACUCAAAAAAAAAUCCUUUGAUUUAACAGGUGAUGAAAUGGAAGCAACAUCCCGGACACAAGGUAGCCAUACGAAUAUCUCAUUCAUCAUACUCUUCUAAUCUUCAAAAAAACAGAGUAACUCACAACAACCUAGAUUAUUCUUCAUUAUUAUUUGCAUAUAGACACC
rnacentral:lncRNA from 1 species